rnacentral:rRNA from 1 species
CCUACGGGUGGCAGCAGUGGGGAAUAUUGGACAAUGGGGGGAACCCUGAUCCAGCGACGCCGCGUGAGUGAAGAAGUAUUUCGGUAUGUAAAGCUCUAUCAGCAGGGGAGAAAGAAAUGACGGUACCUGACUAAGAAGCCCCGCCUAACUACGUGCCAGCAGCCGCGGUCAUACGUAGGGGGCAGUCGUUAUCCGGAUUUACUGGGUGUAAAGGGAGCGUAGACGGUUACGCAAGUCUGGAGUGAAAGGCGGGGGCCCAACCCCAGGACUGCUUUGGAUACUGGAUAACUGGAGUGCAGGAGAGGUAAGUGGAAUUCCUAGUGUAGCGGUGAAAUGCGUAGAUAUUAGGAGGAACACCAGUGGCGAAGGCGGCUUACUGGACUGUAACUGACGUUGAGGCUCGAAAGCGUGGGGAGCAAACAGGAUUAGAUACCCGUGUAGUC